rnacentral:lncRNA from 1 species
AAAAAACAGUAAAAAUUAAAUACAAAGUUGAAAAUAGUUGAAAAAUAAAUGACAUUUUUUAGAAGUUUUUUUUUUAAAGAUUUUUUGUUUUUUAUAUAAGGACUAAUAUUUUUUUUAACAAACCAAAAUGAGAUAUAUUAACAUAGAAAACCUCCCCAACACAAGACGUACCGAGGUAGACUACAAAAGUUUACAAAGAGUCAGAGAAACAAAACCAUAAACAAAUCACACAAGAAAGAUAUAAUAAGAAAGAUAUGACUUUC